rnacentral:rRNA from 1 species
UAAGGAAUAUUGGUCAAUGGACGCAAGUCUGAACCAGCCAUGCCGCGUGAAGGAUGAAGGUCCUCUGGAUUGUAAACUUCUUUUAUCUGGGACGAAAACGGGAUUUUUAUCUCAAUUGACGGUACCAGAGGAAUAAGCACCGGCUAACUCCGUGCCAGCAGCCGCGGUAAUACGGAGGGUGCGAGCGUUAUCCGGAUUUACUGGGUUUAAAGGGUGCGUAGGUGGGCUUAUAAGUCAGUGGUGAAAUCUCCGAGCUUAACUUGGAAACUGCCGUUGAUACUACAAGGCUAGAGUGCAGCAGAGGGGAGUGGAAUUCCAUGUGUAGCAGUGAAAUGCGUAGAGAUGUGGAAGAACACCGAUGGCGAAGGCAGCUCCCUGGGUUGACACUGACGCUCAUGCACGAAAGCGUGGGGAGCAAACA